CACAGCUCAAGGCAAUUCGGGAUCCUUAACCCACUGAACGAGGCCAGGGAUCGAACGUGCAACCUCAUGGUUCCUAGUCAGAUGCAUUUCCACUGCCCCACAACGGGAACUCCGGUGCUAUCUUUUUUUCACCGUGUAAAUUUCCCUCUAUGUCUGGGAACAUUCACCUCUCACCACAGGCAUAGCACACGCUUUCUGCCACUUGUCUUUUGACUUAACUGGUGACCUCUAUCCUUGAUCCUGUCACAACUUCUUUUUUUAGGGCCGCACCCAUGGCACAUGCAAGUUCCCAGGCUAGGAGUCUAGUCGGAGCUACAGCUGCCGGCCUACAGACAGCCACAAGCAACGUGGGAUCACGAAUCCACCAAGUGAAGCCAGGGAUCGAACCCUCAUCCUCAUGGAUCCUAGUCAGGUUCGAGAAUGGCUGAGUUUUUAGAACCACAUAACCUUGUAAACAAUGCAGUCAAAUUAGUAACUUUUUCUUCAUGUUCCCAGGGUUCCUGUCUUGUGCAGAAAUUCUUUCCUAUGCUUAUGUUCUCGCUUCCUUUCAAUAUUUUUAUCACUUUAUCCUUGGCAGUUGCUGACUUGAUCCAGUUGGAAUGCAUCCGUGUCCUGUGAGGUCGCAUACAGAAUUCACAAGCCUCUCUGCACAGGGCCUCCUGCUGCAGCGGGCUGGCCCUUCCCACCAGCCCUUCCCACCGUUUCCAUCGCUGACUGAGGCCCAGAGACUGUGCAAGAGUUUCCUUGGAGGCCCCAUCGUUUCCUUUCCACGCUGAACUCCCUCAUCUGUUGGAAUCUACGCUGCUGCCGCCGCCGUCAAGGCUGAGGAGUGAGUCCCGUCCAACGAGAAUCGCCACCGUGGUAGCGUGCGAAAGAUGUAUAAACCGGAGUCUUUUUCCUCUUUCCGUGACAGUGCGGUUUUCACGCACGUUUGGAGCGCGUUUGCGGUGUGACGCGCUGGGAGGCGGGAGGGAGCGCAGGCUGUCUGGACUUCGCGCGGCGCCCUGCCCACGGCUCAGUGACCCGCAGGCUCUCUCGUCCCGGGGUCAACCCAGCGCAUCCAGGAAGGAUGUGGGCGCUCGGCCGCCGCCUCCAAUCUCCUGCGCGUCCCAGUUCGCGCCCCACUAACAGGCCCCUCUGAGCCGAGACCCCCGCGGCCGCCUGCGUCCCGCGCCAUCCUCCGCCCCCAAGGGUCCCGCCACCCUUCGUCUGCUCCCGCCCCGCCUCCCCCACCUGCGAUCGGUCUCGGGUCCGCGUUCGCCCUCGGCCCGCG
rnacentral:lncRNA from 1 species